AAUUUUUGCACUUCUUGCAGAAUUUGUCUAGCAGGCUUUCCAGUUUAUGCUGUAAAGACCCA
ensembl:snRNA U7 U7 small nuclear RNA